rnacentral:rRNA from 1 species
GACGAACGCUGGCGGCGUGCUUAACACAUGCAAGUCGAACGGAAAGGCCCUGCUUUUGUGGGGUGCUCGAGUGGCGAACGGGUGAGUAACACGUGAGUAACCUGCCCUUGACUUUGGGAUAACUUCAGGAAACUGGGGCUAAUACCGGAUAGGAGCUCCUGCUGCAUGGUGGGGGUUGGAAAGUUUCGGCGGUUGGGGAUGGACUCGCGGCUUAUCAGCUUGUUUGUGGGGUAGUGGCUUACCAAGGCUUUGACGGGUAGCCGGCCUGAGAGGGUUACCGGCGACAUGGGGACUGAGAGACGGCCCAGAAUCCUACGGGAGGCAGCAGUGGGGAAUAUUGCACAAUGGGCGGAAGCCUGAUGCAGCAACGCCGCGUGCGGGAUGACGGCCUUCGGGUGGUAAACCGCUUUCGCCUGUGACGAAGCGUGAGUGACGGUAAUGGGUAAAGAAGCACCGGCUAACUACGUG